rnacentral:rRNA from 1 species
UACAGAGGUCUCAAGCGUUGUUCGGAUUCAUUGGGCGUAAAGGGUGCGUAGGCGGCGGGGCAAGUCGGGUGUGAAAUCUCAGGGCUCAACCCUGAAACUGCACUCGAUACUGCUCUGCUUGAGGACUGGAGAGGAGACUGGAAUUCACGGUGUAGCAGUGAAAUGCGUAGAUAUCGUGAGGAAGACCAGUGGCGAAGGCGGGUCUCUGGACAGUUCCUGACGCUGAGGCGCGAAGGCCAGGGGAGCAAACGGG